CAGGGUGAGUCACGGUUCUGUGCCGGCGGGAGGGAGGCAAGCGAGCCGGGGCUCGUACCACGCAGGCAAAGCCCUGUGCGUUUAGAAGCAAACAGGAAGUAACGGAAAACCGCAAACACCCCCGCAGACGGUUCUGCGUGCUCCUCUCGCCUGCGGCGUCCCGGAGUUCUUCACCGGCUUCUCCCCCAGCCGACAGGGGCAGGAGCCCGUCACAGAAACUCUUACCAAAGACUGCAGGAGGCACGUGUGAAAAACGAAACCUUCACACACUCCUGGGCCUUUCCACACUGCCUGCUGCACGCUAUGCCACACACACUGGAGAUCAGGUGAAGAUACUCCAGUACCAGCCAACGACACUCAGAAUUCAAAGUCCUAUUUCCGAAGCCCAAAGCAACCUCAUAGCAGCGAAGACCAGCUUGCUCCCUGUGACUCUCAGAAAAGCAAACUUCAGCAUUAACUGUCACCUCCUUGAAAAUCUACAACAAAACAGCCUCUUUCUCCUGCAACUGUGAUCCAGUGGCUCUCAAGUGUGCGAGGAAAUGCUGCUACCCAGGUAUCUUAUGGAGCCAUCUUCGUCCAAAGCCGCUGCGAGACCACCUGAGGGUUUCUGUUUGAGCCCGUCUGUAUCCUCCCUGCCCUGCCUCUCCCAGGAGCACGCCGUGUGGACCCCAGAAGCACCCUGGUGAGGGGCAUGCACGGUCCCGUGCUGCCUGACCACUCCUGGUCCCCAAGAGCACAAGGCCUGCAGUCCCGAUCCGGGCCUCUCUUCGCUCCCCAGGUGAUGCUGCACUGAACUCUCACUGCCUGACGUUCUUGCCUUCUCUCCCUCUUCCCCGUUCUUGCCCCUUCUUUUCUUCUGUCCGUUCCUCUUUACUUCCUCCCCUUGAUUCUAGUGCAGAGACAGGAAUAGAACCUAACAGCGCCUUCAGAGUCUGCUUUAAGCUUUCAUCCAUUCUUCGUACACUUCUUGAUGUUAUACUUAAAAUACACAAAGACCCAAACAGCUCUGUGAGCGCGAGAAAGAGCAUUUGGCUCUAAGCUCAGCAGAAACCGGGCCGGCUGAUCUGUCUUCAGCCAGUCUCGUCUCAAGGUGGGGACACUACCACGAAGCUUACAGAAGCCACCAAGAGCCACCGUGCUUCACACUUGUAGGAAGGAUGCAGGUCUCUUAAGCUACCGGGCUGUCUUUUCAGACACAGGACACUGUGGGCGACCCCAAAAAGCCACAGCUGAGAAAGCCUGUGAGAUCUCAGUGCAGAGCUCAGCCUGUGCGACAGGAUCAGCAGACUGAGGUCCAGGGCAGGUGUUUUCCCCUUCACUCUCGUUCUGUUGCAGCAACUUUGCAGAUGAAUGCGAGUUUGGCAGGAAGUGCACUGUCUGCAGCUGAUGCCAGAGCCCCACGCCUCUCCCUGCGGGCUGAGCUCUCCUCCCUGUGCUACGCCGCGGAUGAAGAGGCGCCUGGCUUUGAGGACUCUGGACAGGAAGUGAAUGGUGACCAGGUUGGGAGGGACUGAAAGGCAGAAUUCUUGCUCCAGUCUCUCCACGCCAGCCCUGGACUUACUAAGAGAUCGGCUGAGCAUCCCUCACCCACAACUCUGAAAUACAGAACACGCCAAGAGCUGACCCAUGCCGAGGGCUGACAGGACAUCACAAGUGGGAAAUCCCACCGACCUCUGAGAGGGCCACUGUGAAAUGCAGACAGCUAGCACUGCAACACCGUUUCAGGCUUCAUGUGUAAGGUGCAUAUAAAACAUGAAUGGAUUUCACAACUAGACUGGAGACAGUAGGAAGGUACCAAAGCUAUCUCAUUUUGUAUGUGCAAAUAUGCUAAUUUUUAAAAAAAAAUCCAAAAUCUGAAAGACUUCUGGUCCCAAGGACUGUGGGAUAGGAAUAUUCCACCUAUGUGGGCAAAAAAUGCACACAUGGAGAACACCUCACCUCCAGGAAGCUAGGAUUAGAACGAGCCUCCCCACACACAUACAUUUUCCCCAGAGAGGAAACAAUACAUUGUGCAUGGUUUUUUGAGUCAAACAGGUCUGAGUUCAAAUGUCACUUCUGCUAUAUACCAGAUGUGCUCCUGUGAACAGUACCUCAACUAGCUGCAGAACAGGCAACACUCAAAUGGUUACUUGUUGCUGAGGCAAAAUACAGUGGACCCU